UGGAAAGAGGAAUAAGCUAGCAAAAUCCAAUUUAUGAAUACUCAGAGCUUGAUUUCAAAGGAUUCAUGAAGAAUCACUACUGAUGAAGGAUAUCAGUGUCUUCAGUGGAGCUGUCACUGAGCUGUAUAAAGGAUUCAACUCUUAAAAAUUUUGAUAAAUAGGGAUAUGAUGUGGAGGAGCUAGACCAACCAGAUGACUUGCAGGAAGAUGUGGAGUACUGUGCGGAAUCAUGAAAGGGUAUGACAGAUGAGGCAUUUCCCACUGCUUUAUCUGAGGAGUCUAACCCAGAUUUGUAAAACAGGUCUGAA